AGUGAACGCUGGCGGUAGGCCUAACACAUGCAAGUCGAACGGCAGCACAGUAAGAGCUUGCUCUUACGGGUGGCGAGUGGCGGACGGGUGAGGAAUACAUCGGAAUCUACUUUUUCGUGGGGGAUAACGUAGGGAAACUUACGCUAAUACCGCAUACGACCUACGGGUGAAAGCAGGGGAUCUUCGGACCUUGCGCGAUUGAAUGAGCCGAUGUCGGAUUAGCUAGUUGGCGGGGUAAAGGCCCACCAAGGCGACGAUCCGUAGCUGGUCUGAGAGGAUGAUCAGCCACACGGGAACUGAGUCACGGUCCAGACUCCUACGGGAGGAAGCAGUGGGGAAUAUUGGACAAUGGGCGCAAGCCUGAUCCAGCCAUACUGCGUGGGUGAAGAAGGCCUUCGGGUUGUAAAGCCAUUUUGUUGGGAAAGAAAAGCAGCAGGUUAAUACCCCGCUGUUCUGACGGUACCCAAAGAAUAAGCACCGGCUAACUUCGUG
rnacentral:rRNA from 1 species